ACGCUGGCGGCAUGCCUUACACAUGCAAGUCGAACGGCAGCACGGGAGCUUGCUCCUGGUGGCGAGUGGCGAACGGGUGAGUAAUACAUCGGAACGUACCCAGGAGUGGGGGAUAACGUAGCGAAAGUUACGCUAAUACCGCAUAUUCUGUGAGCAGGAAAGCGGGGGAUCGCAAGACCUCGCGCUCUUGGAGCGGCCGAUGUCGGAUUAGCUAGUUGGUGAGGUAAAAGCUCACCAAGGCGACGAUCCGUAGCAGGUCUGAGAGGAUGAUCUGCCACACUGGGACUGAGACACGGCCCAGACUCCUACGGGAGGCAGCAGUGGGGAAUUUUGGACAAUGGGGGCAACCCUGAUCCAGCCAUGCCGCGUGAGUGAAGAAGGCCUUCGGGUUGUAAAGCUCUUUCGGCGGGGAAGAAAUGGCAACGGCUAAUAUCCGUUGUUGAUGACGGUACCCGCAUAAGAAGCACCGGCUAACUACGUGCCAGCAGCCGCGGUAAUACGUAGGGUGCGAGCGUUAAUCGGAAUUACUGGGCGUAAAGCGUGCGCAGGCGGUUUCGUAAGACAGACGUGAAAUCCCCGGGCUCAACCUGGGAACUGCGUUUGUGACUGCGAGGCUAGAGUACGGCAGAGGGGGGUAGAAUUCCACGUGUAGCAGUGAAAUGCGUAGAGAUGUGGAGGAAUACCGAUGGCGAAGGCAGCC
rnacentral:rRNA from 1 species